ACCUAUGGGAUAGUGCUUGCUUUGGAAUAAUAUAGAGAAGAUUAGCAUGGCUUCUGUGCACGGGUGACAUGCAAAUUCAUGAAGCAUUCCAUAUUUUU
rnacentral:snRNA from 1 species